UGCAGUUUAUAAGAGUAUCAUUUCACCCGAAUCCUUGUCAACACUUGAUAUUCUCAUACUUUAAGAUUUUUGACAAUCUGUGGGUGAAAAAUUAUAUUUGAUUGUUACCUUAAUUUGUAUUGCUCUAUUGUUAAUAAUAGCUUACAAUUACUUAGCACUUAUUCUGUGCCAGCCACUGUUCUAAGCGGUUUACAUAUAUUAACUUAUUUAAUCUUUACCGCAAUGCUUUCAGGGAGUUUCUGUUGCUAUCUUUCCCAUUUUACAGGUCAUGAAAGAGGCUGAAUAACUUGCUAAAUAUUUCGCAGCUCCUCGGGAGUGGCACAGGUGUUUAGACCUGGCCCCAACUCUGCACAGAGUCACAUCGUCCUGGGUCCCCAGUUCUGGAGAGGCCAACUUCACCAAUUCCUUCAAAGACAUCUCCACCUGUGUAUACUGCUGUGACCUUAAACUUCAGAUGUCUUCUAUGACCCUGUCUUUUCUCAAGAAGCAUAGAUCAUCUGCUAAAUCACACUACUUCCUGGAAGAAGUCUUGCUGCCUCCUGUCUCUCCAGCAUAGUGCUUUCCACAGAGUAGACGCUGAAUACAUAUGCAAUGUUUGGAUGGAAGAACAAUGAGUAGAAGCAUGGGGAGCUUGGUUGCUGACCUAGACACAACAGGUGAAGGGGGUGUUUCUAGUUCU
rnacentral:lncRNA from 1 species